GUUUCGGGGCGGAGUGAAAUUCUCCACCGGCGGUGAAAGUCCGCGAGCCGUGUGAGCGGUCGAAUCGGUGCAAUUCCGAUACCGACGGUAUAGUCCGGAUGAAAGAAU
rnacentral:ncRNA from 1 species